UAGGGAAUCUUGCGCAAUGGGCGAAAGCCUGACGCAGCGACGCCGCGUGGAGGACGAAGGCCUUCGGGUUGUAAACUCCUUUCGGGGGGGAGGAACACUGACUUAACCCCCAGAAGAAGCACCGGCUAACUCCGUGCCAGCAGCUGCGGUAAUACGGAGAGUGCAAACGUUGUUCGGAUUCACUGGGCGUAAAGGGCACGUAGGUGGCCAGGCAAUUCGGUCGUGGAAUACCGACGCUUACCGUCGGUGCGCCGGCCGAAAAUACCCGGCUCGAGGGCGUGAGGGAUCGCUGGAACUCCUGGUGGAGCGGUGAAAUGCGUAGAUAUCAGGAGGAACGCCGGAGGCUAACGCGAGCGAUUGGCGCGUCCCUGACACUGAGGUGCGAAAGCCGGGGGAGCAAACAGG
rnacentral:rRNA from 1 species